GACGAACUGCCCAAACGUUGUUCGGAAUCACUGGGCUUAAAGGGCGCGUAGGCGGCCGAUCAAGUCAGGGGUGAAAUCCGGCAGCUCAACUGUCGAAGUGCCUUUGAUACUGAUUUGCUCGAGGGAUAUAGGGGUCUGUGGAACCUCUGGUGGAGCGGUGAAAUGCGUUGAUAUCAGAAGGAACGCCGGUGGCGAAAGCGACGGACUGGAUAUCUUCUGACGCUGAGGCGCGAAAGCUAGGGGAGCAAACGGG
rnacentral:rRNA from 1 species